GUACGGGUGACUCACACAGUCACUCGCGCCCGCCCCUCGCGCUCACUCGCUCCCCCGCCUCGCCGCCGCCGCCGCGCAGGCCAAACCCACCGGCGCGCCCGGACCGAAGUGGCAGGGAACGUGCACGUCGGGCACCCUGGGAGGGAGGGCGCAGCGGGGGAGGGGGCGGGCAGAGACCCGGAAAGCUCCGCAGACCGCCGUGGGUGCGACUGUGCGGCCUGGGGAGUGAGCCUCGCGCCACCGCCGCUGCAGGCCGGGGAGCCCAGGUGCAAACACCGGUGGGGAGAGUGCUCAAACCCGCGUACUCCCUUCCCUCCCUCUUCUCUUCCCCAGCCGGGGGCACCCUCAUCCCAGGCUGACUGACGUCCCUGGCACCCAAAUGUCGCGGGGAGUGCGGGGCCAGGGUGCGCCCUCCCUCCUCCUCCAGCCAGUGAAACCCGGGACAGCGGCACCCAGCCCCAGGGCGGAGGCCGUCUCUGCUGCGCGCAGCGACGCACCCAGGCCCAAGGGCCGGGAGAUCCGCGGGGAACCCGGAGACCUGCGUCCCAGAGGGGCCGAGGGUUGCACCGCGCCCGCUCCCACGGGCCUCUUCCGAGAGGACGCUUCUCCCUCGUGUCCGCGGGAAGUCCUCGGAUCCUGGAUGAGAAAGAGCCUUCUCUCACCGGCUCCCAGACCCCGCGCUUUUUAAUACCUGUCCUUGCAGAGCGACUGGUCAUUUUAGGCCCGAGUCGAGCCUCUCUUGAUUAAUAAAUGAAUAUGGCUCGUUUUGUUUUAAGUGUGCGUGGAUGUAUACGUUGUAUUGUUUUGCAAUUCAACACCGCAAAGAUCUGGGAAAAGUUCUUCACCUGCAUUAAGGAAAGCAAUUACAAACUCGUAGUCCAAACCAGAAGAGCCAGAAAAUCAAGUAGAAGGCUCAGGGUAGGAUGAAACCAAAGGGAACAGGAAUCGUUUCUUCCUUUUAAUAAGAUGUCAGGUUAUUGGACUCACUUGAUGAGAGGCAGCAAAAUGAAUCGAACACAGCCUGGGUUCAAAGCCUGACCCCGCCAUCUAAUGAUGUGACCUUCUGCAAAUUCUUAGUCGCUCUAUGCCUCAAUUCUUUAAUCUACAAAAUGGGAAUAAGGACGCAGCUACCGAACAGCUUCUACUCUCCUGCUGUGAGGAUUAAAUGAGUCAGCAGUUCCGAACUGCUUCAAUCGGCCUGGCUCAAGGGAAGCUCCACGGAAGAGUCAGCUAGGAUUAUUAUAAAUUGGUUAUAACAAAGAAGCGAACACAUUCCGUUGCUAGCGCACAGAUUAAGACUCAAUAAUGCCACAUACCAACUGCCACUGCUCUGACAAAUAUUUCUGUCAUUUCAAAAAAAUAUCAUGGCUGCAGCUUUUCAUGACAAAAGAAAACCAUUGGUUUCUGGGCCUCUUAAACAGCUGCACUGAUGGACAUAUUCAUAAUAAUGCUGUACUGUUUGACUUUCCAGAAGAUGUAACUUCUUUAAAGGAUUCACCAAAUUCAACAGCCCCUGAGCCACUCACUCACUGCCAUGUUCACAAGUCCACCUCAAAAGCAAAUAAAAUGAGAAUUUGCUGUCAGAGAGGAUCAGCUGUCUUUUAAAAAUAUUUCAGAGCUCAUUAGAAAUGUAUGACGAGGGGAAAAAAAAUACCAUGGAAGAACAGAGGAGAA
rnacentral:lncRNA from 1 species